rnacentral:rRNA from 1 species
AGAACGAACGCUGGCGGCAGGCUUAACACAUGCAAGUCGAACGCGUGUAGCAAUACACGAGUGGCGCACGGGUGAGUAACGCGUGGAUAUCUGCCUUUUGGUUCGGAAUAACCCCGGGAAACUGGGGCUAAUACCGGAUGGUUCCUACGGGAUAAAGAUUUAUCGCCAAAAGAUGAGUCCGCGUCCGAUUAGCUAGUUGGUGGGGUAAUGGCCUACCAAGGCGACGAUCGGUAGCUGGUCUGAGAGGACGAUCAGCCACACUGGGACUGAGACACGGCCCAGACUCCUACGGGAGGCAGCAGUGGGGAAUAUUGGACAAUGGGGGCAACCCUGAUCCAGCCAUGCCGCGUGAGUGAUGAAGGCCUUCGGGUUGUAAAGCUCUUUUGGCGGGGCGAUGAUGACGGUACCGCAGAAUAAGCCCCGGCUAACUUCGUGCCAGCAGCCGC